AGUUAGAGGCGCGAUUGCCAUGAGUCAGCACGGCGGAGGGGACCCACCCCGGAGAUGCCGCGCGAAAGGGGCUGUCGCCGAAACGGACCGUUGCCGGGGGGCGGGUCUGUUGGGCGCCGUGGAAACACCACAGCGACUGUCACAGAAUUCUGUGGAGUGCUACUUC
rnacentral:ncRNA from 1 species